GCGGGAAUAGCUCAGUUGGUAGAGCACAACCUUGCCAAGGUUGGGGUCGCGGGUCCGAGUCCCGUUUCCCGCU
rnacentral:tRNA from 2 species